rnacentral:rRNA from 1 species
GACAGAGGAUGCAAGCGUUAUCCGGAAUGAUUGGGCGUAAAGCGUCUGUAGGUGGCUUUUCAAGUCCGCCGUCAAAUCCCAGGGCUCAACCCUGGACAGGCGGUGGAAACUACCAAGCUGGAGUACGGUAGGGGCAGAGGGAAUUUCCGGGUGGAGCGGUGAAAUGCGCAGAUAUCAGGAGGAACACCGGUGGCGAAGGCGGGUCUCUAGGCCGUAACUGACGCUGAGGAGCGAAAGCGUGGGGAGCGAACAGG